AGCAUGACCACGAGAUCUCAGAUAUCCAGCUGUCACAGAGGAAGUGGGAAUUUUUAACCAUGAAUGUCAAGUCAUCUUUUCAAUGUGAACGUUUGCUACUGCCAAAUAAGAAACACCAUUUUGUUUUCAGAUGAAAACUAAUGUGGAGUUGAGGCACCAGCCCACUGUCAGCUGGCAUGACCACUCCUGCGGCCUGGGCUUCAGAUUCUCUCUGUAGCUGCAGGCAUUAAAUUAUGAUGAAGGCCACAGAAAAAUGAUUAAGGUCAAAGUGUAGAAUCGUCAGCCUAUGUUAUGUACCAUUGGGUCAUGAGAGUGGAGCGCUCAUGAAUGGAAUUAGUGACCUUAUGAAAGAGAGACUGGAGAGCUCUCUCAUCCUUUCUGCUGUGUGAGGACCUGGUGAAAAGAUGUCAGGUAUGAAACAGAAAGCGAGCCCUCAACAGACACUGCAUCUUUUGGUGCCUUGAUCUUGGACUUUCCAGCCUCCAGAGCUG